UGUAUACAACCGUUCUAAGUUCGAGGAAAAUUCAAAACAGAAAGUCCUUAAUCAAAUGUCAAAAUCAAAAGCUCAAACGCAUCAAACGAAAGGAUACUUACUAUCUGUCAGUUUCUGACUUAGUCAUGUUUGUGUAGACAUUUUCUUACGAAGAACAUGCUGGAUUAAACCUGGUUUUAUAGCAAGCGAAACAAAGAAACAAAAAAAAAAAAGUCAUAUAGACAAAGUACAUAAGAAAAAAAAGAAAAACAAGAAUAAAAAAAAAAUAAUACCAUAGCACUAUAACACAAUGACGGGAUGUACAAGUAUAUAUAUAUCAUGUAUAUCAUGUAUAUAGUACCACGUCAUAUGUAACAAAGAAACAAAAAAGGCAUAUAGCCAAAGCACAUAAGCAAAAAUGAAGACUAGAAAACAAAAAAAGUACUAUAAAACAAUAACACAAUGACGGGAUGUAUAAUAACAGAGCAACGUCAUAUAUGUAAAAACAAUAACACAAUGACAGGAUGAAUAAGUACAGAGCCACGCCCC
rnacentral:lncRNA from 1 species